rnacentral:rRNA from 1 species
UACAGAGGGUGCAAGCGUUAAUCGGAUUUACUGGGCGUAAAGGGCGCGUAGGUGGUUGCGUAAGUGAGAUGUGAAAUCCCCGGGCUUAACCUGGGAACUGCAUCUUAAACUGCGUGACUGGAGUGCAAUAGAGGGUAGUGGAAUUUCCGGUGUAGCGGUGAAAUGCGUAGAUAUCGGAAGGAACACCAGUGGCGAAGGCGGCUACCUGGAUUGACACUGACACUGAGGCGCGAGAGCGUGGGGAGCAAACAGG